rnacentral:misc_RNA from 1 species
UGAAGAAAAAGCAUCGGCUAACUCCGUGCCAGCAGCCGCGGUAAUACGGAGGAUGCAAGCGUUAUCCGGAAUCAUUGGGCGUAAAGGGUCCGCAGGUGGCGAAUAAAGUCUGCUGUUAAAGACCGGGGCUAAACUCCGGAAAGGCAGUGGAAACUGAUUAGCUAGAGUACGGUAGGGGUAGAGGGAAUUCCCAGUGUAGCGGUGAAAUGCGUAGAUAUUGGGAAGAACACCGGUGGCGAAAGCGCUCUACUAGGCCGAAACUGACACUGAGGGACGAAAGCUAGGGUAGCGAAAGGGAUUAGAUACCCCUGUAGUCUUAGCGGUAAACGAUGGAUACUAGGUGUAGCUUGUAUCGACCCGAGCUGUGCCGAAGCUAACGCGAUAAGUAUCCCGCCUGGGGAGUACGCACGCAAGUGUGAAACUCAAAGGAAUUGACGGGGGCCCGCACAAGCGGUGAAGUAUGUGGUUUAAUUCGAUGCAACGCGAAGAACCUUACCAGGGCUUGACAUGUCGCGAAUCUAGCGGAAACGUUAGAGUGCCUUAGGGAAUGCGAACACAGGUGGUGCAUGGCUGUUGUCAGCUCGUGUCGUGAGCUGUUGGGUUAAGUCCCGCAACGAGCGCAACCCUCGCCCUUAGUUGCCAAUAUUAAGUUAGGCACUCUAGGGAGACUGCCGGGGACAACUCGGAGGAAGGUGGGGAUGACGUCAAGUCAGCAUGCCCCUUACGUCCUGGGCGACACACGUACUACAAUGGUUGGGACAAAGGGCAGCAAACUCGCGAGAGUAAGCGAAUCUCAUCAAACCCAGCCACAGUUCAGAUUGCAGGCUGCAACUCGCCUGCAUGAAGUAGGAAUCGCUAGUAAUCGCAGGUCAGCAUACUGCGGUGAAUUCGUUCCCGGGCCUUGUACACACCGCCCGUCACACCAUGGAAGCUGGCUACGCCCGAAGUCGUUACCCUAACCCGGUUUUGGGAGGGGGAUGCCGAAGGUAGAGCUAGUGACUGGGGUGAAGUCGUAACAAGGUAGCCGUACCGGAAGGUGUGGCUGUAUCACCUCCUUUACAGGGAGACCUAGUCUAAUUACCAAUAGAUAAAAAAGUUGGUAAUUCGCAAGAAUCCUUAGGUCGUGAGGGGAGCAAGAAAAAACUUUCAAACUGUAAUGGGUGAGGGUCAAUGGGCUAUUAGCUCAGGUGGUUAGAGCGCACCCCUGGUAAGGGUGAGGUCCCUGGUUCAAGUCCAGGAUGGCCCACCUAAAAUACACAGGCAUCCUGCCUGUGCCACAAAAAAAGGAAAAAGUUUUGGCAUUGUCUCUUGUAAUCAAGAGCAAGAGAUAAUGCUGGAAUAGAUU